rnacentral:tRNA from 1 species
GGGGCUGCCCGGUUGGUCGGGGCGGUCCGAGACUUGACACCUCACCGCGGGGGUUCGAUCCCCCCCAGCUCCA